GGCACCCAAGCUGCCGUUAGUCUACACCGCGACUGGUCAAUGUAGGUUUGUGACACCUCCAGACAGCUGCUUGGUGCUAAACAUGAAACGUUUAGCCAGCAUAUUGUUGUUGUUCGUGCUGGUGGAGCUCCUGCAGGCGACGAGGAUCUUCGGGGAGUCAUACCAGAGUUACGACAACGACCAUCAUAACGAUAAUUCAGACCUGACGCUGUCAGCGGAGAACGAACUAUA